UACGGAGGGGACUAGCGUUGUUCGGAAUUACUGGGCGUAAAGCGCACGUAGGCGGAUUUGUAAGUCAGGGGUGAAAUCCCGGGGCUCAACCUCGGAACUGCCUUUGAUACUGCAAAUCUCGAGUCCGGAAGAGGUGAGUGGAAUUCCUAGUGUAGAGGUGAAAUUCGUAGAUAUUAGGAAGAACACCAGUGGCGAAGGCGGACUCACUGGUCCGGUACUGGACGCUGAGG
rnacentral:rRNA from 1 species